GUAUGUAUGUAUAUAUAUAUAAUUGGUAAUUCUAUUUUUGAUUGAUAAUAUGCAUAAAAUUAUUUUACUUUUUUUUUGGUAUAGAAUGGAUGGGUAUGGGGCGGGUAUGGAUUGGGUAUUGGGAAAUGGGUUACCCACGGGUAUCCCCGAACCUGUUGGGUAUGGGGAUGGGUAUCUCUUUUCUUACCCGAUUGGGUAUCGGGUAGGGUUUGGGUAUAGGGUAUU
rnacentral:lncRNA from 1 species